rnacentral:rRNA from 1 species
AUUGAACGCUGGCGGCAGGCCUAACACAUGCAAGUCGAACGAGUGGCGGCAGGGAGGGUAAUGUCUGGGAAACUGCCUGAUGGAGGGGGAUAAGUACCGGAAACGAUAGCUAAUACCGCAUACCAUCGGAUGUGCCGAGAUGGGAUUAGCUAGGAGGUGGGGUAAAGGCUUACCCAGCCGACGAUCCGUAGCUGGUCUGAGAGGAUGACCAGCCACACUGGAACUGAGACACGGUCCAGACUCCUACGGGAGGCAGAAGUGGGGAAUAUUGCACAAUGGGCUCAAGCCUGAUGCAGCCAUGCCGCGUGUAUGAAGAAGGCCUUCGGGUUGUAAAGUACUUUCAGCGGGGAGGCGUUACCCGCAGAAGAAGCACCGGCUAACUCCGUGCCAGCAGCCGCGGUAAUAC